GGUGAACGCUGGCGGCAUGCCUAAUACAUGCAAGUCGAGCGGCAGCAUAGUGAGCUUUUGCCCUUACGGUUAGCGGCUGACGGGUGGGUGACGCGUGGAUCGGCUUCCUCUUAUUCGUGGGGGACAUCGGAGGACAAGUGCUGAUACCACCUCAUACGUUUAACGGGAGAAUUCAGGGGUGAAAGGGACCUUUGCCGCAUGCAAGAGCCGAUGCCGGAUUAGCUAGUUGGGAGGGUAAGGGCCCACCAAGGCGACGAUCCGUAGCUGACCUGAGAGGAGGAUCGGCCACACUGGAACUGAGACACGGUCCAGACUCCUACGGGAGGCAGCAGUGGGGAAUAUUGGACAAUGGGCGAAAGCCUGACGCAGCAAUACCGCGUGGGUGAGGAAGGUCUUCGGGUCGUAAAACCCUUUUGUUGGGAAAGAAGAGCAGCAGAGUAAACCCCGCAUGUUCUGACGGUACCCAAAGAGAAAGCAACGGCUAACUACGUG
rnacentral:rRNA from 1 species